rnacentral:rRNA from 1 species
CAUCGAGCAGAGGGAAAAGGAGCAAUCCGCUUUGAGAUGGCCUCGCGUCCGAUUAGCUAGUUGGUGAGGUAACGGCCCACCAAGGCGACGAUCGGUAGCCGGACUGAGAGGUUGAACGGCCACAUUGGGACUGAGACACGGCCCAGACUCCUACGGGAGGCAGCAGUGGGGAAUAUUGCACAAUGGGGGAAACCCUGAUGCAGCGACGCCGCGUGGAGGAAGAAGGUCUUCGGAUUGUAAACUCCUGUUGUUGGGGAAGAUAAUGACGGUACCCAACAAGGAAGUGACGGCUAACUACGUGCCAGCAGCCGCGGUAAAACGUAGGUCACAAGCGUUGUCCGGAAUUACUGGGUGUAAAGGGAGCGCAGGCGGGAAGACAAGUUGGAAGUGAAAUCUAUGGGCUCAACCCAUAAACUGCUUUCAAAACUGUUUUUCUUGAGUAGUGCAGAGGUAGGCGGAAUUCCCGGUGUAGCGGUGGAAUGCGUAGAUAUCGGGAGGAACACCAGUGGCGAAGGCGGCCUACUGGGCACCAACUGACGCUGAGGCUCGAAAGUGUGGGCAGCAAACAGGAUUAGAUACCCUGGUAGUCCACACCGUAAACGAUGAUUACGAGGUGUUGGAGGAUUGACCCCUUCAGUGCCGCAG